UAGCACAUACUCUCAUUCCUGGUCACCCCUCGUUGCUGGACUACAGCGCUGUGGCUGUUCCCUCAGGGGCACCCCUAGCUGGGUCACCCAAAGGACCUAGCUGAUGCGGGUGGCCAGGGUUGGGUGAUGAGGAUCCAUCAAACAUCACGCGGUUUGCACCGUGGGGUUUGUCACUAUUUGUUCCCUGACUGAAAGCUUUGAACAGCCACGGAGUCCUUCCCCACCCGCCGCAGGGUGGGGCCCCCCCGGGCUCAGCAGGCGCCCCCCGGCGGCACCCCGUGCCCCGGCACCCUGGGCGCCCACUCUGAGCGUGCGGGUCUGGGAACACGGCCUGGCCUCGCCGGACCCUGUCUCUGGGACAGUUUUCUAAACUCAGCUCUGACAAAAAGUAAAUUUAUGACAGAUUUAUCUGGAGGAGGAGGCGGCAGUGGAGGGUGACACACUGCGAGCCAUGAGCGGAGAGCCCGAGACACAGAGCAGAUAAACACGCCAGCAGCCAGAUCCCUCCGGGAUGACAAAUGGCUUCCUCUCCACGGUGGGGGUGCACCUCGGAGCAGCCGGAGCCCGCACCCGGCAAAGGCCCCACAAGGCCCCGCAGGGAGACGCUGCUGCCGCAGAAUCCCACAACCCUGGCCCGUCCCCAGGCACCGGGAUGCCGCCCUCUUCAUGCCAGCCCCGCACGACAGGGGAAUUACAGUGAAUUGGGGACCGUGUGGUGACACGCUGCCUGUCCCCGGGAGCGAGCGAAGGACCUCCCGGGACAAUCAGAUCCCUGGAAGUGGGGGCAGGAGCCGGAGGAAUGUGGACGGGCAGUGGCUGAAGUCCAGGUCCCCUGCCUUCAGGAAGGUGGCCACCCCCACGAGACGAGCAUGGCAGCUCCGGAAGGACAUUGAAGGGCAAGAGGAGCCCAGGGCAGUCCACUGACAGCGCUUUUAAACGAGUCCAGAAAGGAUGAAGCAGUGAGAUGAAGGGAUUUAGGGGGUGGCUGGUGACGGGGACACGGAGAAGACUCAGUCAUGAGAGGAGCCGCCUGAGCCAGCCUCUGAGCCAGCCUCUGAGCGGGGGACUGGCCCUGGCCACCUCGUCCGGGGAUUUCCGGGUCUGUGUGGGACAACUGUGACCACAACAGGCCGCACCAAGCCCAGGCUCUGGCCCCAGCUGCCCCCAGGACAGAGUGGCCGCGGCUAGCCCGCGCGUCCCCCCUGCCGCAGGCCCUGGCCGCAGCUGGAAAUGGGCCAGCUCUGACCCAGGGAGGCCCUGAGUCCCGGGGCCCGACUCUUGUCUCACCAGAGGACUCAGGCCUCGAGAGCCACCAGGAGCCUGGCUGACCUCGAGGAGCAGGGUCCCUCCCGCCACUGCCUGCCUCGGACGCGACGUGAGCAGGAGGUCCUCUCAGGCACUCGGGGGUUACUGACCGCGUGGUCAUCUCAGCACUGUGAGCUACUGGUCAGAGCGCAAUCGGGGCUCCCACGAGCAGAUGUGGGCCUGAGUGGCUUCGGUGUAUGGACCAUCAAAUAAUGACAAGAGAAAACGGAGCCCCCCCAGGGCGGGAGCAGGACACGUCACCCCGCCGGGAAGCGGCAGCCCAAAGACAGGACCCAGGUGUGAUGGACUGAAGGGUCUCGCGAGAUGGCCCUGACUACCUGGCUGGGGCCACCUCUGUAGACAAGGUCCUCGUCCGGCCUGCGGGGGAUCUGAGACACUCCAGAGGGGGCCAGGCAGAGACGGAGGCAGAACCUGGUG